rnacentral:rRNA from 1 species
GCGGCAGGCCUAACACAUGCAAGGCGAGGGGCAUCUUGAUUGAAGCUUGCUUCAAUUGCCGGCGACCGGCGCACGGGUGCGUAACGCGUAUGUAACCUACCUAUAACAGGGGCAUAACACUGAGAAAUUGGUACUAAUUCCCCAUAAUAUUCGGAGAGGCAUCUCUCCGGGUUGAAAACUCCGGUGGUUAUAGAUGGACAUGCGUUGUAUUAGCUAGUUGGUGAGGUAACGGCUCACCAAGGCAACGAUACAUAGGGGGACUGAGAGGUUAACCCCCCACACUGGUACUGAGACACGGACCAGACUCCUACGGGAGGCAGCAGUGAGGAAUAUUGGUCAAUGGACGCAAGUCUGAACCAGCCAUGCCGCGUGCAGGAAGACGGCUCUAUGAGUUGUAAACUGCUUUUGUACGAGGGUAAACUCACCUACGUGUAGGUGACUGAAAGUAUCGUACGAAUAAGGAUCGGCUAACUCCGUGCCAGCAGCCGCGGUAAUACGGAGGAUUCAAGCGUUAUCCGGAUUUAUUGGGUUUAAAGGGUGCGUAGGCGGUUUGAUAAGUUAGAGGUGAAAUCCCGGGGCUUAACUCCGGGACUGCCUCUAAUACUGUUAGACUAGAGAGUAGUUGCGGUAGGCGGAAUGUAUGGUGUAGCGGUGAAAAGCUUAGAGAUCAUACAGAACACCGAUUGCGAAGGCAGCUUACCAAACUAUAUCUGACGUUGAGGCACGAAAGCGUGGGGAGCAAACAGGAUUAGAUACCCUGGUAGUCCACGCAGUAAACGAUGAUAACUCGUUGUCGGCGAUACACAGUCGGUGACUAAGCGAAAGCGAUAAGUUAUCCACCUGGGGAGUACGUUCGCAAGAAUGCAACUCAAAGGAAUUGACGG